UGUAAAGAUACUACAGAUUUGGAAAAGCACGAUUGAUCAGGACUAAUUUUAGACUAAAUAUGGGUUUAGGAUUACUCAGGGGCACCAUCGACAACAAAACUGUGCGAUGGAGAAGGCCCAUUUCAGUAAUAUGGUCAGACAAGACAGAACUAGUAUCGAACAUCAAGACUUUGGACGAUUUGACGUGUGACGACUUUGAGCUCACCCGACGGGGUGACGGACUAGGUGGACAGUGACCAAAUGUUUGACGCUUGAGCUUGCUUGCGACAAGAGCACGCUCUGCUUUGUUUUUCUGUGUGACUUGAUUUUUAUUUUUUUGCAGCAACAGCCAUCAGCCAAGUAGCGGAUUGCGCGCUGCUUGCGUAACUUGUUUUCGUUCUUGCAGGUUGUCGAUUGCGUUCGUGGAAAGUUUGUGUUGAAUUUACAAGAAUAUGUUAACCCUUGCCCUUUUGGUUUUUAGGAUGAACUUGUUGAUGACAUGGUUUUCAGGACAUGAUCCGCAGGCGCCAGGAUUCAUUUUAUGACUGUUUUUAUUUUGAUACUUGAUGUCUGGUUUUGUGUGUACAAAUGUCCGCUGUCAGCAGGGCUAUAAGCUCACUGACAGGAGUGCGAUGAUUUUUGUUUGUAUUGCCGAGUGUGUGGUGGACAGUCAAGUUUUAAGGACUUGGAAUGACGGUCCCGGGGCCCAGAUGGGAGCUAGAGGUUCCGCGGGCCUGGCUACAAUGAGUGUGGUGAUGAGAGGGGACGCUUUGCAGGUUCCUUUUGAUACGUAAUGACACAUUGGGUGAAUGUGUCAAAAGGGGGAGUGGUAAAAUAGAAAUGGGUGAGUAGGUUUCAAUUUGUAAUUGUGAUAUACAGUUUUUUUCCAAAUUCACUUGUUUUUAAGUUUUAACAGGACAUGCCAGAAUUCAACUAGCAGUGAUGGAAGGAGCAGAGGAAGACCAGUGACAUCUGGUUGUGGUGUGGUGACAACAAAUUAUAUGAUCGCUUGCCGAAGGAUGCAUCAGGUAUCUGUGCCCUCGUGUCUUUGAUAAUGCCUGUAGUGGUUGUCCCCAUUGAAAUACAGAAUCUCAAUUGGAACAUGGAGUCCCCACUGGCGGGGCUCCUGAAGCGAGCCAAAAGAGACGUUUUCCCCCAUGGUUGAGC